AGCCACUACAUUUCCAGCUCUAAAAAGAGCCAGACACAAUCCCUGCUUCCAGAGUUCACCAUUCAGAAUACAGGAGGUCAAGCACUGAUUCUGAAUCAUUAAUGGGCUUUGAUUUCGUCUUUCAAGAUUUGCAUAGAUACUGAUUUCUUCCGGAAGGGCAAAUAAAAUCUUCCCUUACACACAUCAUUCUUUGGAUUCUCAUAAGGGGUAUUUUGAAGUCUGUAUGUUGACAAGGCCAGUAGAUACUUUGUUUUCUCUAACUGCCUUCUUCUACUUAAGACUAUGUCAAGUAUUUUGUUUUCCCUUUCAGUUCUCCCCAACAUACACCUU
rnacentral:lncRNA from 1 species